UACGUGCCAGCAGCCGCGGUAAUACGUAGGGUGCGAGCGUUAAUCGGAAUUACUGGGCGUAAAGCGUGCGCAGGCGGUUAUGUAAGACAGAUGUGAAAUCCCCGGGCUCAACCUGGGAACUGCAUUUGWGACUGCAUGGCUAGAGUACGGUAGAGGGGGAUGGAAUUCCGCGUGUAGCAGURAAAUGCGUAGAUAUGCGGAGGAACACCGAUGGCGAAGGCAAUCCCCUGGACCUGUACUGACGYUCAUGCACGAAAGCGUGGGGAGCAAACAGGAUUAGAUACCCUGGUAGUCCACGCCYUAAACGAUGUCAACUGGUUGUUGGGAAUUAGUUUUCUCAGUAACGAAGCUAACGCGUGAAGUUGACCGCCUGGGGAGUACGGCCGCAAG
rnacentral:rRNA from 1 species